rnacentral:lncRNA from 1 species
AACACAUUUAAGCAGAGAAAGCCUGAGAUGUCUACCCUGUGUCUUCAUUGUUGUUUUGGUUUUCAACAGAUUAAGAAUUUCUCAUGUCAUAGCCAGGCACAGGGAGAGAGACUAUUAAAAAAAAAAAUGAACAUAAGGAGGCAUUAUGUUAAUGACUAAUUUUCUUUUUUACGGUUUUCAUUAUUUUACCUUUUUUUUUUUUCAAGUUCCUGGGUACAUGUGCAAGACGUGCAGGUUUGUUACAUAGGUAAACGUGUGCUAUGAUGGUUUGCUUCACCUAUCAACCCAUUGUCUCUGGAAUCGGUGGUUUUUUGGUCUCACUGACUUCAAGAAUGAAGCCGCAGACCCUGCCGUACUGGAGGUUUCUAUCAAGAUAUCUUUAAGCCCACUGAUUCUUUCCUUGGCCAUGUCUGAUUUACAGCUUGUUCAAUUGUGGUUCACCGUUAUUAUCCUGGAGCUCUGUUGUUGUAGUGCUGUAUAAUUUGACAUGCCUUCAGCUGGGGAAGAGGAGCCACCUUAUUAUAACUAGGUGACGAUAGCAACUCAGACUCUCCAAUGGGUUUCCAUUGAGACCAAAGGGGAUGAUGCCUUGUUACCUUAGACAGUGAUGGGAGUUCCUGUUCCCCACCAGGUGAUAGGUAAUGAAGAUCUUCACCGGAAUUGGCCUCUUGAUCUUGGACUUUCCAGCCUCCAGAACUGCAAGCCAAAUAAACAUAUUGUGUAUAAAUCAUCCAAUCUGUGGUAUUCUGUUAUAACAGCAAAAAGUGAACUGAGACAGUUUAUUCUUUAGGAGUGGCCUGUAAGUGGUUUCAUAAGAGGAGAAAGAUACCUGAAUUCACUGUAUAAGUCCUCUCACCAUGUGAUGCACUGUACCACCUCAGGACUCUGCAGAAAGUUCCCACAACCCAGAAGAAUCUUACCAGAUGUGGUCUCUCAACUUCAGAGUUCUCACCCUAUAUAACUGUUUACAGAAGGAGACUCUGAACUUUAAACUUUUGACUUGGUACUGGAACGCGUUAAGACUUUAGGGCAAUGAGAUUAGAUGAAUAUGAAAAGCACAUGAGUCUUGAGGGACUAUGGGCAGAAUGCUAUGCUUUAAAUAUUUGUCCCUUCCAAAAUGCAUGUUGAAAUUUAAUCCUCAAUAUGGCAGUAUUGAGAGGCGAGGUAUUAAACAGAUAACUGUGUCAUGGG